GCCGCAGGCGUGCGUGCACGGCCCCAGCGCGCGUGCGCGUGGCCGCCUGCGGAUUCGGGAGCCCCCUAGAGGCUGGAUGCGCGGCGGGAACCGAAGGACCGAGGGAGUCGGGCUGGCCGUUUAGAGCCUUUCCGUUGUUCCUUCAGCACUCGCUGUGCGCCUCUAGCGGGCAGUAGAGACACAGGCGCAGAGACUGUGAUCACGAGCUCAUCACGGUCCCAGCUGUGGCGAAGGGCAAGAAGUCCCAUUCUAGACCGGGUCCGUACUCACACAGACCCCGAGGACAACCUACAGGAAGCCUUCUGAACACAACACAGAAUUUCCCACGGAUUGAUCUACAGGCCGGAUCAAGUGGCACAAAACAUGGGGCUCCUGACACGGAGGAGUUAACAAGGGAGCCUUUCGAGAGACAGCCGGCUUAAACUAAAAGUAAAAACAAAUUAAACCAAAGACCGCAGCAAGAAGUAAACAAACUAAAUCAAGGAUUAAAGCUUAAAGCAACAGGACAUUAAAUUAAGUACCGAGGCCUACACAGACGACUACCCAACGUCCUACCCGAGUCACAGUGAGUGAACGGCGUCCCCAUUCCCUUUCCCAGACAUGGGUCAAGUAUUGAGCGAACACAAAUUGUUCACGAGAGGCCUUAUAAAGGCAUUAAAGACAAGAGGGGUAAGGGUUAAAACAAAAGAAUUAUUACAGUAUUUUCAAUUUAUUCAUAAGGUUUGCCCUUGGUUCCCCCUAAAGGGUUCUAUAGAAACCAAGAAGUAAAAUAAAGUAAAAGAUGCUUUAAAAGUU